GGAAAGAUGAAUCAAAGAAGGUAAUAAUCCUGUAGUCGAAAAUGUUGUCUCUCUUGAGUGGAUCCUGAGUACGACGGAGCACGUGAAAUUCCGUCGGAAUCUGGGAGGACCAUCUCCUAAGGCUAAAUACUCUCUAGUGACCGAUAGUGAACCAGUACCGUGAGGGAAAGGUGAAAAGCACCCCGGAAGGGGAGUGAAAUAGAACCUGAAACCGUGUGCUUACAAGUAGUCAGAGCCCGUUAAUGGGUGAUGGCGUGCCUUUUGUAGAAUGAACCGGCGAGUUACGAUUUGAUGCAAGGUUAAGCAGUAAAUGUGGAGCCGUAGCGAAAGCGAGUCUGAAUAGGGCGUUUAGUAUUUGGUCGUAGACCCGAAACCAGGUGAUCUACCCUUGGUCAGGUUGAAGUUCAGGUAACACUGAAUGGAGGACCGAACCGACUUACGUUGAAAAGUGAGCGGAUGAACUGAGGGUAGCGGAGAAAUUCCAAUCGAACCUGGAGAU
rnacentral:rRNA from 1 species